rnacentral:rRNA from 1 species
UUUAUUGGAGAGUUUGAUCCUGGCUCAGGAUGAACGCUGGCGGCGUGCCUAAUACAUGCAAGUCGAGCGAAUGGAUUAAGAGCUUGCUCUUAUGAAG